AAACAUCUCCUAUUUUUCCAUAUAUUAGGUAAGCCCUGCCCAGUGAAUAUUUAACGGCCGCGGUAUCCCUGACCGUGCGAAGGUAGCAUAAUCAUUUGCCUCUUAAUUAGUGGCUAGUAUGAAUGGGUAAACACAGUUUUAACUCUUAAUAUAUUUGUAAAAAAAAUUAGAAUUUCAGUGAAAAUACUGAAAACCAAUAGAAAGACAAAAAGACCCUAUCGAGCUAUAUUUUACAAACUUUAUAAUUUGUUGGGGCAACAAAGGAUUAACUCAAACAUCCUUAAUUAUUAAUUAAUAAUGACGAAAUAUAAAGAAUUAGAAAAGCUACCGUAGGGAUAACAGACUUAUUUUUUCUGAGAGCUCAAAUUGACGAAAAAGAUUAGCACCUCGAUGUUGGCUCAGGAUUACUUAUACGUGCAGCAGCGUAUAGAGUAGGUUUGUUCACCCUUUAAUUUCCUACGUGAUC
rnacentral:rRNA from 1 species